CCGGCGCCGGUUCACCCCUCGACGAAGGGGACCCGGGGCC
rnacentral:ncRNA from 1 species